rnacentral:rRNA from 1 species
AGAGUUUGAUCAUGGCUCAGAGUGAACGCUGGCGGCAGGCCUAACACAUGCAAGUCGAACGGCAGCACAGCAGUAGCAAUACUGUGGGUGGCGAGCGGCGGACGGGUGAGGAAUACAUCGGGAUCUACCUUUUCGUGGGGGAUAACGUAGGGAAACUUACGCUAAUACCGCAUACGCCCUACGGGGGAAAGCGGCGGACCGCAAGGCGUCGCGCGAUGAGAUGAACCGAUGUCCGAUUAGCUAGUUGGCGGGGUAAAGGCCCACCAAGGCGACGAUCGGUAGCUGAUCUGAGAGGAUGAUCAGCCACACUGGAACUGAGACACGGUCCAGACUCCUACGGGAGGCAGCAGUGGGGAAUAUUGGACAAUGGGCGCAAGCCUGAUCCAGCCAUGCCGCGUGUGUGAAGAAGGCCUUCGGGUUGUAAAGCACUUUUGUCC